UACGUAGGUGGCAAGCGUUGUCCGGAAUUAUUGGGCGUAAAGCGCGCGCAGGCGGUUUCUUAAGUCUGAUGUGAAAGCCCACGGCUCAACCGUGGAGGGUCAUUGGAAACUGGGAAACUUGAGUGCAGAAGAGAAGAGCGGAAUUCCACGUGUAGCGGUGAAAUGCGUAGAGAUGUGGGGAACACCAGUGGCGAAGGCGGCGUCUUUGGUCUGUGAACUGACGCUGGAGGCGCGAAAGCGUGGGAGCGAACAGG
rnacentral:rRNA from 1 species